UACAGAGGGUGCGAGCGUUGUUCGGAAUUACUGGGCGUAAAGGGCGCGUAGGCGGCUUACCAAGUCAGACGUGAAAGCCUGGGGCUCAACCCCCAGAAGUGCGUUUGAAACUGGUAGGCUAGAGUGCAGUAGAGAUUGGCGGAAUUCCCAGUGGAGAGGUGAAAUUCGUAGAUAUUGGGAGGAACACCGGUGGCGAAGGCGGCCAAUUGGGCUGCAACUGACGCUGAGGCGCGAAAGCGUGGGGAGCAAACAGG
rnacentral:rRNA from 1 species